AGCGAACGCUGGCGGCAGGCCUAACACAUGCAAGUCGAACGGAUCCCUCGGGAUUAGUGGCGGACGGGUGAGUAACACGUGGGAACGUGCCCUUUGGUUCGGAACAACUCAGGGAAACUUGAGCUAAUACCGGAUGUGCCCUUCGGGGGAAAGAUUUAUCGCCAUUGGAGCGGCCCGCGUCUGAUUAGCUAGUUGGUGAGGUAAAGGCUCACCAAGGCGACGAUCAGUAGCUGGUCUGAGAGGAUGAUCAGCCACAUUGGGACUGAGACACGGCCCAAACUCCUACGGGAGGCAGCAGUGGGGAAUCUUGCGCAAUGGGCGAAAGCCUGACGCAGCCAUGCCGCGUGAAUGAUGAGGGUCUUAGGAUUGUAAAAUUCUUUCACCGGGGACGAUAAUGACGGUACCCGGAGAAGAAGCCCCGGCUAACUUCGUGCCAGCCGCCGCAGUAA
rnacentral:rRNA from 1 species